rnacentral:rRNA from 1 species
UGUGGAAGUAAAAAGUCGUAACAAGGUUUCCGUAGGUGAACCUGCGGAAGGAUCAUUACCGAGUGUAGGGUUCCUAGCGAGCCCAACCUCCCACCCGUGUUUACUGUACCUUAGUUGCUUCGGCGGGCCCGCCAUUCAUGGCCGCCGGGGGCUCUCAGCCCCGGGCCCGCGCCCGCCGGAGACACCACGAACUCUGUCUGAUCUAGUGAAGUCUGAGUUGAUUGUAUCGCAAUCAGUUAAAACUUUCAACAAUGGAUCUCUUGGUUCCGGCAUCGAUGAAGAACGCAGCGAAAUGCGAUAACUAGUGUGAAUUGCAGAAUUCCGUGAAUCAUCGAGUCUUUGAACGCACAUUGCGCCCCCUGGUAUUCCGGGGGGCAUGCCUGUCCGAGCGUCAUUGCUGCCCAUCAAGCACGGCUUGUGUGUUGGGUCGUCGUCCCCUCUCCGGGGGGGACGGGCCCCAAAGGCAGCGGCGGCACCGCGUCCGAUCCUCGAGCGUAUGGGGCUUUGUCACCCGCUCUGUAGGCCCGGCCGGCGCUUGCCGAACGCAAAUCAAUCUUUUCCAGGUGACCUCGGAUCAGUAGGUUGCCCAAGUCCCAA